rnacentral:rRNA from 1 species
AGCGAACGCUGGCGGCAGGCCUAACACAUGCAAGUCGAACGAACCUUUCGGGGUUAGUGGCGGACGGGCGAGUAACACGUGGGAACGUGCCUUUAGGUUCGGAAUAACUCAGGGAAACUUGUGCUAAUACCGAAUGUGCCCUUCGGGGGAAAGAUUUAUCGCCUUAGAGCGGCCCGCGUCUGAUUAGCUAGUUGGUUGAGGUAAUGGCCCACCAAGGCGACGAUCAGUAGCUGGUCUGAGAGGAUGAUCAGCCACAUUGGGACUGAGACACGGCCCAAACUCCUGCGGGAGGCAGCAGUGGGGAAUCUUGCGCAAUGGGCGAAAGCCUGACGCAGCCAUGCCGCGUGAAUGAUGAAGGUCUUAGGAUUGUAAAAUUCUUUCACCGGGGACGAUAAUGACGGUACCCGGAGAAGAAGCCCCGGCUAACUUCGUG